GCCUGCCGGCCUCCUUCGCCCCGCCCCGUCCGCGCAGCUCGUCCGGCCCGCCCGCAGGCCAGCUUCUCUCGGGAGCCUCCACCCAGGCGCAUGGCUCCAUGAAGCAAGAGGAGGAGGCAGAGCGCGAGAGAUCCCGUCCGCCCCAGCCGCGUCUGGGCCAGGAGAAAAGCAAAACCAUAUUCCUGCUGCUGUCAGUUUUGAUGCACUGAGAAAACUUCAGAGACCUAAGCUUUUUCCAGAGAAGAGAAGCUUUACUGGUGUUCCAGCCCUAAGGCUCAUAUGACAUUAACAGACAAGACACUUUUCAGAAAGACAGAUGGAGUCUCUCUGUCACCCAGACUGGAAUGCAGUGGCAUGAUCUUGGUUCACUGAAACCUCUGCCUUUCUGGUUCAAGCAAUUCUCAUGUUUCAGCCUCCCAGGCAACGUGUUGGACCUUCCGGAGCUUCUCAGAAGACAGAGGGUUUUCUUUUGAGGCUGUUGUACAGUGGCCUGAUUAUAGCUCACUGUAGCCUCGAAAUUCUGGGCCGAAAUGAUCCGCCUGCCUCAGCCUCCAAAGUAGCUGAGACUACAGACAAAUCAACUCAAUCAAAGAAACCAACUCAAAGAAAGAUGGGUCUACAUACAACAAAACUGAACAAAAUCUGCAAGAAGAGUGAUUCAUACAUGGGCUAUUGAGGCAACAUGAGAUGGACAUUAAUCGACUAAGUAAAAAACAGAUUUCUUGAAGAAUUAAUAAAGAACUUUUGUUUUGGA
rnacentral:lncRNA from 1 species